rnacentral:rRNA from 1 species
GAUGAACGCUGGCGGCGUGCUUAACACAUGCAAGUCGAGCGAAGCAGUUAAGUUGAUUUCUUCGGAUUGAUUCUUGACUGACUGAGCGGCGGACGGGUGAGUAACGCGUGGGUGACCUGCCCCAUACCGGGGGAUAACAGCUGGAAACGGCUGCUAAUACCGCAUAAGCGCACAGAGCUGCAUGGCUCAGUGUGAAAAACUCCGGUGGUAUGGGAUGGGCCCGCGUCUGAUUAGGCAGUUGGCGGGGUAACGGCCCACCAAACCGACGAUCAGUAGCCGGCCUGAGAGGGCGACCGGCCACAUUGGGACUGAGACACGGCCCAAACUCCUACGGGAGGCAGCAGUGGGGAAUAUUGCACAAUGGGGGAAACCCUGAUGCAGCGACGCCGCGUGAGCGAAGAAGUAUUUCGGUAUGUAAAGCUCUAUCAGCAGGGAAGAUAAUGACGGUACCUGACUAAGAAGCCC